rnacentral:misc_RNA from 1 species
UACGGGGGGGGCGAGCGUUGUUCGGAUUUACUGGGCGUAAAGGGCUCGUAGGCGGCCACCUGUGUCGGUUGUGAAAUCCCCCGGCUCAACCGGGGAACUGCGAUCGAAACUGGGUGGCUCGAAGCCGGGAGAGGGAUGCGGAAUUUCAGGUGUAGCGGUGAAAUGCGUAGAUAUCUGAAGGAACACCCGUGGCGAAGGCGGCAUCCUGGACCGGUCUUGACGCUGAGGAGCGAAAGCUAGGGUAGCAAACGGG